CUCCUAUAGGGCGAAUUGGGCCCUCUAGAUGCAUGCUCGAGCGGCCGCCAGUGUGAUGGAUAUCUGCAGAAUUCGCCCUUUUCCGGUUGAUCCUGCCGGAGGCCACUGCUAUUGGGGUUCGACUAAGCCAUGCGAGUCUAUGGGCUUUGCCCAUGGCGGACGGCUCAGUAACACGUGGUUAACCUACCCUCAGAUGGGGGAUAACCUCGGGAAACUGAGGCUAAUACCCCAUAGGGGAUGAUGUCUGGAAUGAUUCAUCCCUGAAAGGACAUCCGCCUGAGGAUGGGACUGCGUCCGAUUAGGUAGUUGGUGGGGUAACGGCCCACCAAGCCUACGAUCGGUACGGGCCUUGAGAGAGGGAGCCCGGAGAUGGGGACUGAGACACGGCCCCAGGCCCUACGGGGCGCAGCAGGCGCGAAACCUCCACAAUGCACGAAAGUGCGAUGGGGGAACCCCAAGUGCCUAUGCACAGCAUAGGCUUUUCCCAAGUGUAAACAGCUUGGGGAAUAAGGGCUGGGCAAGUCCGGUGCCAGCAGCCGCGGUAACACCGGCGGCCCAAGUGGUGGCCACUCUUAUUGGGCCUAAAGCGUCCGUAGCCGGUCCAGUAAGUCCCUGUUUAAAUCCUGCGGCUUAACCGCAGGACUGGCAGGGAUACUGCUGGACUAGGGACCGGGAGAGGGUGAGGGUACUCCAGGGGUAGCGGUGAAAUGCGUUGAUCCCUGGAGGACCACCUAUGGCGAAGGCACUCACCUGGAACGGGUCCGACGGUGAGGGACGAAAGCCAGGGGCGCGAACCGGAUUAGAUACCCGGGUAGUCCUGGCCGUAAACUCUGCGGACNUANGGUGUUGCCUGGGCCUAGGGCCCAGGCAGUGCCNAAGGGAAGCCGUUAAGUCCGCCGCCUGGGGAGUACGGUCGCAAGACUGAAACUUAANGGAUUUGGCGGGGGAGCACACAACGGGUGGAGCCUGCGG
rnacentral:rRNA from 1 species